AGCUAAAUAAGUUGAAAAAGUCCAGUUGUCCUGUAAAUAGUUUGGACUUGAAAUGGUAGCUUUUCGAGAUAUUUCAGGGGUGUUGCCUAAGACCCCCAUUUUGUAGUAAUUCUAUUACAAUUAAUUUGCGUAGCACUCUCUUAUAAGCGUGUAAGGCAGCAAGGACCGUACUGGGAUACACUCCUUGUUGCAUCAAUAAGUGGAUUCAUUGCUGUAACUUUGGCUUCCAUUGGGAAUGUAGUUACCAGACAAAGUGUUGAAAAUGACAUUUUUAAAGAAAUAAAACAAUCUCUAUACAUUUUAUUUAUAGUUUGUGAGCCUUUUUGAGCAAUCUUUGAAUUCUCAGUCAUAGUUUGCAACUACAUCAAACUGGCCUGCGUCCUUGCACCAGGAUCACGGCUCCUGCGCUCCUUGAAAUCCGCUCUUCUUGGAACUUUCUUAGCUUUUUUUGCAUGCCGGAUUUAUAUCGGCUGUUUUCGAUACCUUAACAAAACAGUCGACGGAGGAAGGGCGUGGAAUAUUCAUACCCCAGCUUAUAUCUGCUUAUUUAUACCAGAACUGCUUGUCACAGCUCUCAUAAUUUAUACCUGUUGUAAGAGAGCAAAUAAUAAAAACGAAGGAAUCUUUCAUAUAAAAUCUGUUCUAAAAAGCAAUUUUUUUAUUUUGGUUACUUUGGAUAUUUGUGGGUGUUUUCUCACCCUGGCUUCAGCCCUCAUUGGCGUUAAUAGUACUUUUUCGGUUAGAGUAAUACUCUAAACCUUGCUAAGAGUGCAGUUCCACUGAUCCUUACAUUAGAUGCGGUUUUCAUAAAGAUGGAAAGCCGACAGUCAACACUUGGGCCCUUCCAGGAUGAAUCGGCAAGAGCGGCUUUCAGCCAGACAAUAGAAUCUUUUCUGGCCAAUACAUUUGAAGUUCUUUAAAACAGCUUGCUGAAGAGUUUAGUUUAAAUU